UGGGGGCAGAAUCCCACAAGAUAUAGACAUCGAAGACCAAUCAGAAGGAGGUGCAAAUGCACUGAAUGUAAAUAGCUUGAGAACUCUACUGCACAAGUCGUCAACGCCUUCGAGCACAGUGCAGAGAUCACCAAAUGCCGACUCAGAACAGAUACGUGUGGCGAAGUCCCUUGUGAGGACAGUAUUUGAGGAUAGUCUG